AACGAACGCUGGCGGCAUGCCUAACACAUGCAAGUCGAACGAGACCUUCGGGUCUAGUGGCGCACGGGUGCGUAACGCGUGGGAACCUGCCCUUAGGUUCGGAAUAACUCCCCGAAAGGGGUGCUAAUACCGGAUAAUGUCUUCGGACCAAAGAUUUAUCGCCUUUGGAUGGGCCCGCGUUGGAUUAGCUAGUUGGUAGGGUAAAAGCCUACCAAGGCGACGAUCCAUAGCUGGUCUGAGAGGAUGAUCAGCCACACUGGGACUGAGACACGGCCCAGACUCCUACGGGAGGCAGCAGUGGGGAAUAUUGGACAAUGGGCGAAAGCCUGAUCCAGCAAGGCCGCGUGAGUGAUGAAGGCCUUAGGGUUGUAAAGCUCUUUUACCCGGGAUGAUAAUGACAGUACCGGGAGAAUAAGCUCCGGCUAACUCCGU
rnacentral:rRNA from 1 species